GACGGAGGAUGCAAGCGUUAUCCGGAAUGAUUGGGCGUAAAGCGUCCGCAGGUGGCAGUUCAAGUCUGCUGUCAAAGACCGGGGCUUAACUUCGGAAAGGCUGUGGAAACUGAACAGCUAGAGUAUGGUAGGGGCAGAGGGAAUUCCUGGUGUAGCGGUGAAAUGCGUAGAUAUCAGGAAGAACAUCGGUGGCGAAGGCGCUCUGCUGGACCAUAACUGACACUCAGGGACGAAAGCUAGGGGAGCGAAUGGG
rnacentral:rRNA from 1 species